AUAUUUCGGAACUGAGUCUAGUUCCUUCGAUAUCAGUGUAAUCUACACCAACACAGCAGAUUUUAUGAUUAUUAGAUUACACUGAUAUCGAAGGAACUAGACUCAGUUCCGAAAUAU